UUACACAUGCAGUCGAGCGGCAGCGCGGGGCAACCUGGCGGCGAGCGGCGAACGGGUGAGUAACACAUCGGAACGUACCCAAUCGUGGGGGAUAACUAUCCGAAAGGAUAGCUAAUACCGCAUAAGUCCUGAGGGAGAAAGCAGGGGAUCGCAAGACCUUGCGCGGAUGGAGCGGCCGAUGUCGGAUUAGCUAGUUGGUGGGGUAAAGGCCUACCAAGGCGACGAUCCGUAGCUGGUCUGAGAGGACGACCAGCCACACUGGAACUGAGACACGGUCCAGACUCCUACGGGAGGCAGCAGUGGGGAAUUUUGGACAAUGGGCGCAAGCCUGAUCCAGCCAUUCCGCGUGAGUGAAGAAGGCCUUCGGGUUGUAAAGCUCUUUCGGCAGGGAAGAAACGGUGCGGGCUAAUACCUCGUGCUAAUGACGGUACCUGAAGAAGAAGCACCGGCUAACUACGUGCCAGCAGCCGCGGUAAUACGUAGGGUGCGAGCGUUAAUCGGAAUUACUGGGCGUAAAGCGUGCGCAGGCGGUUUUGUAAGACAGAUGUGAAAUCCCCGGGCUUAACCUGGGAACUGCGUUUGUGACUGCAAGACUCGAGUACGGCAGAGGGGGGUGGAAUUCCACGUGUAGCAGUGAAAUGCGUAGAGAUGUGGAGGAACACCGAUGGCGAAGGCAGCCCCCUGGGUCGAUACUGACGCUCAUGCACGAAAGCGUGGGGAGCAAACAGGAUUAGAUACCCUGGUAGUCCACGCCCUAAACGAUGCCAACUAGGUGUUGGAGAAGGAGACUUCUUUAGUACCGUAGCUAACGCG
rnacentral:rRNA from 1 species